rnacentral:rRNA from 1 species
AACGAAUGCUGGCGGCAUGCCUAACACAUGCAAGUCGAACGAGAUCUUCGGGUCUAGUGGCGCACGGGUGCGUAACGCGUGGGAAUCUGCCCUUUGGUUCGGAAUAACAGUUGGAAACGACUGCUAAUACCGGAUGAUGACGAAAGUCCAAAGAUUUAUCGCCAGAGGAUGAGCCCGCGUAGGAUUAGCUAGUUGGAGUGGUAAAGGCGCACCAAGGCGACGAUCCUUAGCUGGUCUGAGAGGAUGAUCAGCCACACUGGGACUGAGACACGGCCCAGACUCCUACGGGAGGCAGCAGUGGGGAAUAUUGGACAAUGGGCGAAGGCCUGAUCCAGCAAUGCCGCGUGAGUGAUGAAGGCCUUAGGGUUGUAAAGCUCUUUUACCCGGGAUGAUAAUGACAGUACCGGGAGAAUAAGCUCCGGCUAUCUCCGUGCCAGCAGCCGCCGUAA